UGGCUUGCUUGACUCAGAUCUAAAAUUCUCUGCCAUGACUUCUGAUAUUUAGGUUUCAAGGAAUCUAGUUUAUCUUGCCAGAAGGACAACAUUUUUGAGGUAGGUUUAGAUAUCCUGCUCUUUUGUGAGGAAGAAGCAGACAUCUUUAAGUCUUCUGAAGUUUGUGUCACUUUAUAUUAGACUGAAUUGCUUUUGGACAGAAAGGACUGAAUAGCCUAUUCUCCGUUACUUGGAAUAUAGGUCUUUUAUUCUCCUGUUGCUGUCCGUUACUAAUAGCCCCUUAAAUAAAGUGAUCACUAACUUUUAAGAUUCUCAGUCCUUUUACUGAGACUUAAAGCUUUUUAGACUUAAAAAUAACUAUUGUGGUCCUGAAAGCCACAUUUUCCUCCGAAAGGGCUUCCCUCAGGUUCCUUCAAAAUGGCGCUGCCCUGUAUGACUGCACUCUCUCUACAGUCAAAAUGGCUGCUUAACUCCUUCUUCUUCUGAGGUAGUUUUCACUUCUCCUCAGGAAGGUCAAAAGAAAGAAAUCAACUGCUACUUGGGAAGCUUAAAGAAAAUACACUUUUACUGGGGAAGCUCAAAGGAAAAUAAAUUCACUUUUAUUCAGGAAGCUUGAAGGAAAGAAAUUCACUUUUACUUGGGAAGGUCAAAGGAAAGAAAUUCACUGUUCUGCCUCCAUGCUUAAUUAAAUGAACUGGAAGGACUCAUAGCACGAAGGACAGAUUGGAGACUGUAGUUGUGAAACAAAAUAUUUUAUUAAUAGACAAAAUUGAUCUCUUUUCCUCUUGAUGCCACUAUGAAGUCUCUUGUGAGGAAAGAAAUCUUUGAGUCUAUGCAGUUCUGGAUAGAUAUUGCCACAGAGUAUAAAGUCUUGUUAUGAUUGGAUUCUUUGUAUCUUUGAGAUGACUUCAAUGCAGUGUUGUUGACAUGGCUUUCUCUAUUGCUGUAGUCUAUGGCUUUUUAAUCUAAUUUGAAUACAGUUCCAACGUGACGUGAAUUUCUGUGAUCCUUUUACUUCCUACACUUCCUUCCAGUGCUUCACCAACUGACAAAUUCUAACUGACAAAAAUAACUGCCAUUUCAGGCUGGCAGGGGCCAAGGCUAAGCUCCGCCCCUUUGGAACCUUAAAGAGACAGGGCAGCAGGUAAUGUUUUGCCUCCUCGUGGCAUGACAGUGCUCUAUUUGCUAUUUGGCACUAUUUGGCAGAGAAGGUUGAAGACCUUGUGAAACUACAACUUCAUUGUGCCAUGGCAAUUAAAGUGGUGUCAAACCACAUUAAUUCUACAGUUCAGAUGUGCCACAGGCAUUGCAGCAGAGAGAUUAAAAUGAGGCAGGUGGUGGCAACCUCAAGAAAAGCAGAGGAAAUCGAGGCAUCCUUUUCAUUACUACCAUGACAUGCCAUUAUUUUUAGUGUAUUUCACUUUUUUUCAGAAAUCUUUUCCAUAGUCUUUUCAUUCACAAGUUUUUCUUCACUGGUGCUGGGUAUUUCACACAGGAACAUUGCAUAUGUACCACUGUUUUCUUCUUUACUCUUUCAGUCGUUUUCGACUCUUUGUGACCUCGUGGACCACUGUUUUAAAAGACCCAUUUCAUGCAUCUGAUGCAAUGAGAGCCCGUGGCUGUUUCUUAGACUUCAAGGGUGGCUCAGGAUUUGCCUUUAUUUGUUAUCUCUGUGAUGUGUGGUCUUCAUAAACACUCUCUUCUACAUAGAUCUAUAUGUAUUAAUAUCAUAAGAAAAAUAUUUUUCAACACAAAUAGUAGAUUGUAAUUUCUUAAUAAUUUACACAUUAUGUUAAAUAUGUUUAUGUAUUUGCUCAUAUAAUAGAUAUAUAUAUAUGCAGAUAACAUGACUCAAUGGAUCCAUAAUUUAUUAUCUAACUGGAUCUAUGCUAGGCAUACCUAAGUCUGGAUUCACUGUGUAUAUUUUGAGUAUUGCCACAUGGUUGCCACAUAUUUGGAUGAUUAGAAAAUGGAAACAUAUUUUGAACUUUAGUCAUAGACAGAUCAAUACACAGAUCUGUUCACAGCAUUAAAUUCAACAUGAUGCUAUAUUGUAAGUAAGUAACAUUUGUUUUUAGAUCAUGUAAGCACAGCAUUUGCGAGUGUCUUCAAAAUAUAUAUUGCAUAAUUCAUCUUGAAGACUGAUGGGAAAUUGUAUGUUAAAGUAUCUUUCAGGAUUGAAAUUAUGUUUUCAAAACCUAAUUACAGCUGCUAGCAUUCACAAUAUUCCUGUUAUCAUUGAGGCUAUUGUUAAAAGACAACUUGGUUGCACUGGAAGCCACACCAUGCAAAGGUUUGUUUCCAGAACAAUGUGUAAGGUUUCAGGUCAUUGCUUAGUGCAAGGACAAGAUGUUAAUGUUUAGAAAAGCAAUGUGCUUCAUUCUUGCCCUUUGACACAGAUCUUGUGUACUGCAGACUUUCAAUCACUUUUUAAAAAUUACUUGUAUCAUUAUGCUUCCAGCAUGUUGGAUAUAUUAUGCAUUGGGAGAGUUUUGCAAGGAGGAUAUAUAGAGUCCCUGACUUGUCUUUGUUAUUUAAAGUGGGUUAGAAUGUAUAGAAAUAAAAUAAUCCAAACUAGUGUUCAAAGAGUAAUGGCCAUGUUGUUUUAUUUGUGUUAUAUCUGCAGAAGAAAUUUAACACCAAAAAACAAUUAUUGCUUCUGGUGUUAUUACAUUUUCACUACAUAGGACCACAUGUUGAAACAGAAUUAGUAUUUAGAGAUCAAAAUGCUACCAUGUUGACAGGGAUGUGUAAUGCAUAUUCCAUUCUUUUCACAGAUCAUCUGUUUCUGGAACACCAUUGACCUCUGACGGCUGUAUAGUUAUCAUUAUGGGAAUAUUCUCAGAGGUCCAUCCUUUAGGAGUCCUGUUGAAGCUCCUCCGGGUACAAAGAGGAUUGGCAAGGACCAUGAAUCGAGGGUCAUUUAGCAGCAGAAAGUUGAAAUCUGGAACCUUGAACUUAACCAGUUUCGAUGCUCUCUCAAAGCCACCAAAAGGAGUAGCAACUCUGUAAAUGAUAGGAACAAGAAUAAAUGAGAAAUCCAAACAAACACUUACUCUCUCUGUGUAAGUGUCUUCGUUUUAAUUGAUUCUUAUAGCAACAUUAUAAAGCAGUCACUUCUAGUGUGAGAGAAUUGGCCGUCUGCAGAAACCUUGCCCAGAGGAUGCUUCAGGGGCUUCUCUCAUGUCUCCACAAGCUAGAACCGACAGACGGGAGCUCACCACGUCUCGGCAAACUUCAAAUCAGCAACCCAACCUUGCAGUCCAGCCGGCACAAAGGUUUUACCCAUUGCGCUACCACGGCUCCUACCAUGCUAAACCAUGAUUUUGUGUGACAUACACACACAGACAGAAUGAUAAGAAUAGCUUUAGGAAAGCUGAGCCAUAAGCAAUUCAAGGAGGGAAAACAGAAAGAUGGAAUUGUGAAUAUUUUCCAUUAGCCGACAUCUUUGUGUAAGAAUUUUAGUUACUGGCCUAUACAGAAUUGUUUUUCUUUGAUAUUAAUUUUAGUUUUCCCUUUUGAACUUUGUAUAUUCAAUUAGUAUUUGGUGCAGUUUUACAGAAAAUAGAAUCGUAAAAACCCUUUUAAUAAAAAAAAGAAAUGUACAUUUUAGAUGUUACAUCUUUUGCAGAGAAUUAAUAGCUAUUAACAUCACCAUUAGGGCGUGAUGUAAUAAUGCAAAAUUAUAAAUGAUGCCUAAAUCCAUUUUGUAGUCCCAAGGAAAAUAAUCCUGUUGAAUAAAUAAGAUUCAUAUAAAUAGUCAUUAACAAUUUAAGCAAUUAAUUAAAUGGAUUUUCCCUUGUUAGUUGGAUUUAAUCCAAACUACACUGCAUGCACCCAGGUUAAUAACCAAAUGUAAAUUAAUUUCUGUUUCAAUCAAAAAAUGAAGUGCUGUUUGUUAAAAUAAUGCUCAGUGCCCAGAAUGGUUGAGAAACUUUUUGAAUCACUGGACCUCAUCACAUGGAGGUCCAGGAGCUGGGACACAGUGGGGAAAACUGUGGGACGGCAUUCCACUUCGUCCCUUUACGGCGUUCUUUGUGGUCCCCAGCAUCCUUCCAUGCUGUCCCUGGCUGUUUCUAUGAUGAGUUGGUUAGUCACUUGACUCCUCAGGGCUCCAUCUCUGCGCACUGCUGGCAUGCUGCUGGCAUGGAGACCCACAAGAAGUAGCCCUGCGUCAUUUGAUGGGCUCUGGUGGACUCCAUCCCGGCAGCGUGCUGAUAGCAAGUAGAGAUGGGGAAAACCACCCGACAGAUGAGGUCGUAAGAGAUUGUGGUACAAACUGAGUCCUUAACAACCUGAAGAAAAUGCUUCACAGUUUGUGGGAUUAGGUUUGCUGCAUCUAGAUUAGUAACACAGAGGGAUACCCAGAUGGACUGGAUUCCUUUAGUGCUUUGAAAACAAUCCAUUUCAGGAAGGGCACUUUGUUUCUAGUCUAGGCAAAGAGGCAAAACCGGUCAAGCCUGUUUAAUGUUAUAUCUAUGCAUUUUACAGUGCCUCAUUUCUUGCAUAGGGUUCUAUUCUGGAUGCUUAUCCUAACAGGAAGGGGAAAAGGGGGGUAGAGUGGAAAUAAAGAACGGAAGAAAUAUUUUUUCACCUACAGUACUUACAUGUUAAAAAAGGAGGCAGGAAGGGGAGGAAAUGUGUUACCCCCCCCCCCCCCUUUAAGGCUAUCUGGUUUUUAUUUUGGCAUGAGCUUUUGUGGCACUACAUUUGAAGAAGUUGGUUUAUAUCCAUAAAAGCUCAUACCAAAAUAAAAACCAGGCAGUCUUAGAGGGGGUGCCAUAUUUCCUUUUUUCUUCCUCUACUCUCCUCCUUUUUUACUGCAAGACACUAACACGGCUAUCUCUUUAAAGAAAAGCAAUGAGUAAAGAUAGUUUGGAGAUGUCUUAAUACAAUGGGAUUCUUCAAAGUGGUGAUCUUUUGUUGCAUCCUAUGGCAAGUCCUUCCAGAAAUCAGGAACUCAACGGCUCCCAGGUAGGCAGGAGUCAAAGAACAGUUAAAGCUGUUUGGUGGCCCUAGGAAUUCAGAUUAUGCACCCCCAUCCCAUAAUGUUACAUUUUCAUUUCCGUAAAAUGUAUUUCCCAUGAUAAAAUGUUGCUAAAAUUACAAUUUUCUAAGAAAAAAAGAAAGGGAGCUUCUCAAGAGUUUUAGUACUAUUAAACCAAAAGUAUUUCAAACCUGAGUUUAUAAUCAUUCAAAUGGGCAAUUAAAAUUCACAGGCUUGUCAUUUUUUCUUGCUUGUUCAUUUCCUGUUAACACAGUGAAUUGGGGGUAACAAUAUAUGGAACAUGUACUGUGCUUUAAUAUGGUAACCCAAUUAUCUUAAAAGUAAGUGAUAAGAAGGAAUGCUUGACUAUUCUAGCUUUUCACUUUGUUCAGUUUGGCUAUAGCUGCUUUGAGUCUCCUUGUGGAGAAAAAAUGUGUGGCUGCUGUCUUCCAUAUUUGCAGGUUUUAGUCCAAGCUUUAAAGAGCUAUCUAAGGAGCUGAAUUUGUUUUUCCAACGGCUCCUUUAAAUGUUGGACUAAAGCACAGAGCUUAGCAGUGUUGACAUGGAAGUUACCAUUGCAUUAAAACGGCAGUUCCCAGCCUUUGGUCCUUCAGGUAUUUUGGUUCUCCAGGCAUUGUGCCAGAAUUCCUGAAAGUUGGCCAAGCUGGCUGGAACUUCUGGAAGCUGAAGUCUCAAACAUGUGGAGGAACAAUAGUUGGAAAGUACUGAAGAAUCUGUCUACUGCAAUCUUUAAAAUACAGCCUUUUGAAAUAAGGAACUACAGAAAUGUAAACUGUGAUGAGAAUAAAGAGGCAAGUGAAACUGGUGAAGGCUGUUUUGCACUGCGCCAAGUAGUGGAGAGCAAAUCCUAGAACCUUCAUAGUCCUUGACAUCAGACUCAAAACAAUGUUAGCAUGUGCUCUUAACGGCAUCCACAAUAGCAGCUUUGUGGCGAAGUGACAGGGAUUCAAAGCUCUAGUUAAAUUGAAGACAUUGAGCCAGAUUCGUAGUUGCUUUCUGCUGUGCCCUCCCAGGUUUCUAGUAUAGUGCCAAGAAAAGGUGGGCCAAUGGGGAACUCUAUAUUUAACAUGUGUAGACAACUGUGACCUUCCAGAUGUUGAUAAGCUGCAACUCACAUAAUCCUACAUUGCCAAAUCUGUCUAGAACUGAUGGAAAUGGUAGUCCAAAAGCAUCUUUAGGUCUACAUGAAGAUUAUGAGACAUAUUCCUGGGUGGCUUUGGUUUUCAUUGUGGCCGCAGUUGUUAAUCAGGAGGGGAGGGGUUGAACUAUUUAGUUAACUUUAACAUGUUAUGUUAUCUGUUUUAGAUCGAAAUGGGUCUCGUAGACCUUGUUUUGUUAACUGCAGCUUAGCAUUUAGUCAGUCUCAUAACUGUAUUUUAUUAUGCUUUUAUAGGUUUUAUUGUUAGUUAUUCUGUGCCUAAUUGUAGGUCCUAUUGUGGCAAGGAAUGUGACUCAAACUUUUUAUAAAAAUAAAUAACUGAAAUAAUAAUAACAUUUUCAGCCUCUAAAAUCCUUUUAGCUAUCUUCUGAAUCCAUUCCAGCUUGCAUAGAAAUAUCACAGUCAGACACAAACGCUACUCCAAUCUGGUAGAGCCUGAUAACUGAGAGGAUGUUGUAGCUGCAUUCAUUUGUUGUAUAUGUUUGCUUGAAGUUGCAAAUGCAGGCUGAUUAGCUGCAUUCAUUUGUUGUGUAUGUUUGCUUAAAGUUGCAAAUGCAGACUAAUUAAAAUACACAAAGCUUUGUUGUCAUAACGAUUUUUAACUUCAAACAUGGGGGUUGAUCUUCACAUGUCCAUGAUCACUAGUGAGUGUGCCUCUGAGAGACACUUAUUAAGCAUUACCAUUCCUAGAAAUAUUUCUUCCUACAAUGACACUAUGCGAACAUCAAGACCUGAGUCACACUCAGAGACUGAUGUCAUUAUUAUAUCACUAUGGUCUCUAAGGUUACAUCAUUGUGAUGUCUCAUGGGCCUUGUAGUCCCGUUCCUAGUGCUAUUGUGGCAGAUGAGGAGGAAAAUUUGGGAUUUCCACCGGUUCAGCUUGAAUCAGAGCCUCGCCACCUGGAGGAUGUUUGUCCUCAGGAAGUUAACCAAACAAGCCUUGGGCAGAAUUCUCCCCCGUUUUCCCGAAAGGAUAAUUAUAAUAGAGAUAGAGGAGCCAGGGAGGCUAAUCGCUGGAGCCUCAGAAUCGCUGCCAGACAAUUAGCUGAUUAGGUCUGCUUCCCUUGGGAAAUUCUAAGGAGUCAUGCAUCUGGACAGAGUUGGGUUUCAUUUCUUGUUCUCCAGGGAAAGUGUUCUGUUGGCGGGAAAACAAGACCCUAUAUAGGGGUUUUGCCGCAAGGGGAACCUUGCGGAGUCAAUUUGUUCAGCUUGAGGAGAGAGAUCGUGUGAGGACUUCGAACCCCAGUUCCUUGUUUCCCGGAUCGAGUUUCCAGCCUUGCCUUGUUUCACGGACUUCUAUGGACUCAGUUCAUGUUUCAUGUUUGCCUUGUUUCAAGUUUGAUCUAGCCAAGAUUCAAGCCUAUUUUCCAGCCUUGUUGUCAAGCUACCUUGGACUUUAAAGACCCUGUCAUUCCCCACACCAUUGCUUGGCAAGGUGUGUGUUUCGGUCAAGUGAAUUAUAACUUUGGACUUUAAUAUCUUAUAUUGGACAUUAUAUUUCUGGACUAUAUUUGACCUCAUCUGAAAGGUCUGCUUCUGAACUAUAUUCUUCACUUGUUUUUAUUGACUUUAUAUAUUUCUUUAAUAAAGAUAUUAGAUAGA